AUUAAAUGGAAGUGAAGACUAAUCAGGCUUAGCCAUCUUCAAUGCUCAGCUGAUAAAGAGAAAAGGCAGGAGGUGUUUGAGAAACAGAAAGUGUUAAAGUUGGAGUAGAAUAGUUGGGUGAGCUCUUAGGGUGAUUGGAACUUGGCUACACACGUAAAAUGAUUUUUCUGGAAAAGGGACGGUGCUGAGAAAAGCAAUUAAAUAGGGUUUUUAUUGUCAGGAAGUUUAUGAAUUUUAGUUUCCAGUGUUAUAUGAGCUGGCUGGACCACCUCUUCUGGAAGUUUUGAAUGCUGGUGCCCUUGAUGUGGAAUUCGCAGCGCCCUUCCCUGUCCAUCAGGAGCAGAGGCUUCGCCGGACCUGCAGGGGCUCUAGGGGCAGGUGCGAUUGUCACCAGGAGAUGGACGGGUCACUCCCAAUUGCAGCAGAGAUUAAUGCCGGAGUUAGCCGCUCCUAAAACAGGCUGAAAUAACAGUCCUCUGGAAGAGCUGGAAAAUACACAAAGCCUGCUUAAUUGAUUAGAGAAGAUAAACAUAAGUGAAAAUUUUGUGAUCAAGCAUCUGCUUACAGGUUUUGGUGAAUAAUUCCCCAUGUUUGGGGGACAGCAGAAGACAAGCCCUUUAGGCCUGCCCUAUGGAUAUCACCAUUUGCAUUAAUGGAAUAAUGGAGAGCUGCAGCAAAUUGCCUGAUGGUCUGGAAACAGAGUAGGAUGCUCUGCUUGCAAGAGUAUUACAGCUGUUUUCUCAUGGUACAGUUUACAGAAAGGAGCAGCAAACAGGAGGAGGUCGGGGACACCAGGACAUGUUACUGCCAUGUGUCAAGUUGGCUUAGCAAAGAAAUACCACAAGAUGGAAGAUAACGGAGAAAAUGGGAAGUUUUGAGCUUUUGGCUGAAGGAAGACGGACUUGCUGAUGGAUGGCUGGGCACUGAGAGGAGUUUUCAAUAAGCUGAUAUUUCACUCUGGUUUCCUCUGGACUGAGGUUACAUCCUGGCUAUAGAUUCCAUGGGGGAAGAGCAUGAGACUGGCAGCCAGAGGCCUUACAGGGGUGAAGGGGGAGUGUGGUGAGCACCAGUCUUCAUUGCUGUCUGUCUACAGAAAAACACUUGCUGAAAAGACAGCCUAAAUAUGCAUUUUGAAGUUCUACAGUUGUUAAAUUGUGAUUUAGGAGUUAUCUUGUUAACUGCAGAUUUGGUUUCAGAGAUCGACUCUCAGAGCUUUUGUUACAGGUCUCACUUUCAGCUGGUGGGUUAUAAACAGGCUGAAACUUCUGCUUUUCACGGGUGCUUUUCCAACACUAUCCUCUGACCUCCAUUUCAC